ACGCUCGACACCUACGGGAGGCCGCAGUGGGGAAUAUUGCACAAUGGGGGAAACCCUGAUGCAGCGACGCCGCGUGAGCGAAGAAGUAUCUCGGUAUGUAAAGCUCUAUCAGCAGGGAAGAAGAUGACGGUACCUGACUAAGAAGCACCGGCUAAAUACGUGCCAGCAGCCGCGGUAAUCUGAGCCGGGCUGGCAAGGC
rnacentral:rRNA from 1 species